rnacentral:rRNA from 1 species
GAUGAACGCUGGCGGCGUGCCUAAUACAUGCAAGUCGAACGCAGUGGGGACGGGUGAGUAACACGUGGGUAACCUCCCAUCAGGGGGGAUAACACUUGGAAACAGGUGCUAAACCGAUAUUGAUGGUUGGACCUGGGGUGCAUUUGCUAUUUGGUGAAGUAACGCCUCAACAAGGACACGAUGCAUAGCCGACAUGAGAGGGUGGUCAGACACACUGUGACUGCUACACGGCCGAGACUCCUACGAGGGGCAGCAGUAGGGAAUCUUCGGCAAUGGACGAAAGUCUGGCCGAGCAACGCCGCGUAAGUGACGAAGGUUUUCGGUUCGUAAAACUCUGUUGUUAGUGAAGCGGUAACUAACCAAAACGCCACGGCUAACUACGUGCCAGCAGCCGCGGGAAUAC